rnacentral:lncRNA from 1 species
UGAGAACAUCUUGUUGGUUCUUAGUUAUUAAAGUAUUUGAUCACAUUUUAGAAAUUCUGAUAACGUUGGGCAAGCUGACAGGACAUAGUUUGAGAUGGCAGUAGAACAUACUGUGAAUUACAGCCUUGGAUACAGAAUAGUAUUGGAACUGAUUUAAUCGAUAAAUUGUUCUGACCCAUUCAGGGCAUUUUGGGGACAGACUCUACUAGUGGCCCCAGGACAUCCUACAAAAGAGGUGAAAUCAGUAUUGGAGAAGUGGUCUCAUGAAGAUGGGAGCACGACUACUACAAUUGACUGCUGACUUCUCACCCAAGGAAAUAACUGUAUCCCAGCCUGAUCUCAGUGGAUAAUCCCACAGAGUUGAGGAGUAAUCAUCAUGCUCCAUUUUGUUUUUGAGCCAUCUUCAGCCUUUGAGUCCUUAAGCUUUUUGGAGACAGUUUGUGGAGAAGGUCCUCACAACAUUGUGCAACAGGCGUGAAAGAUGUAGUCUCCAUUUACGGCUACUGAAAUAGGCUGAGAGAGGGUGAAGAAACUGAGGCUUGGAGGGUCCAAAUAGCUUGCCCAGUAUCACAGAAAAGAUGUUCAAGAAAAACAACUUCUGUGGAAGAAGAAGAUAGGAGCCCA